UACGUAGGGUGCGAGCGUUAAUCGGAAUUAUUGGGCGUAAAGAGCUCGUAGGCGGCUUGUCACGUCGGGUGUGAAAGCCCGGGGCUUAACCCCGAGUCUGCAUUCGAUACGGGCUGGCUAGAGUGUGGUAGGGGAGAUCGGAAUUCCUGGUGUAGCGGUGAAAUGCGCAGAUAUCAGGAGGAACACCGGUGGCGAAGGCGGAUCUCUGGGCCAUUACUGACGCUGAGGAGCGAAAGCGUGGGGAGCGAACAGG
rnacentral:rRNA from 1 species